AGUGAACGCUGGCGGUAGGCCUAACACAUGCAAGUCGAACGGCAGCACAGUAAGAGCUUGCUCUUACGGGUGGCGAGUGGCGGACGGGUGAGGAAUACAUCGGAAUCUACUUUUUCGUGGGGGAUAACGUAGGGAAACUUACGCUAAUACCUCAUACGACCUACGGGUGAAAGCAGGGGAUCUUCGGACCUUGCCCGAUUGAAUGAGCCGAUGUCGGAUUAGCUAGUUGGCGGGGUAAAGGCCCACCAAGGCGACGAUCCGUAGCUGGUCUGAGAGGAUGAUCAGCCACACUGGAACUGAGACACGGUCCAGACUCCUACGGGAGGCAGCAGUGGGGAAUAUUGGACAAUGGGCGCAAGCCUGAUCCAGCCAUACCGCGUGGGUGAAGAAGGCCUUCGGGUUGUAAAGCCCUUUUGUUGGGAAAGAAAAGCAGCAGGUUAAUACCCCGCUGUUCUGACGGUACCCAAAGAAUAAGCACCGGCUAACUUCGUG
rnacentral:rRNA from 1 species